rnacentral:lncRNA from 1 species
AAUACUGCUUCUGCAUCUGUUUGGAAGCUUAAAAUGAGAUUUGUGAUUGCCUUAACUGCUAUCAUGGCCUGCAUUUGGCUUCUCUCGCUGCCUUCGCUGACCAUGGCGGUGUGCUGCAGGCCCACAAGGAUACGCUUCGAGGUGAAGCCCAGCAUAGAACAACGCACUUGUAGCACCUACGGUGGGGUGCAGGAUAAGAGAAAAAAGGCCUGCAAUGCAAAGAUCUGUAAUGAUGGCCAAAUUGUUCAAAAUCAGUGGUGCGGCAUAGGCAAGUGCAAUUCAGUUGGUUGUCGCUGCCAGAAUGGAUGCAUUGAGCCUCGAUCGGUGGCUGUUAAAAGUUUCCUGGAGAAGAAUGGAUUCUCCAAGUUUGUCUUUGUGCGAAGGACCCCCGCAAUAGUCAAAUAAUAAAGUCUUAAAUCACAACUCAAAUGUAUUGGUAGAAGAAAAUUGUGUUUGGUGAUAUUGAAAGCUGCAUUAUCGCAUUACCCAUUGAAAACAGAUGUUUUAUAUGUAGCUUAAGAAACAGCUUUGUAAUUUGUCAAAUAAAGAAACAGAUUUAUC